UCUACUGUGCAAGUAUUCAUUCUACUUUGUCAUAGCUGAUUCUGCCCCAGCCUUGUCGCCUCACAGAAGUACUCAGUGUUUUCAAAACUCUGUGUAGCAACUGUGUUAAGAUUCCUAUAGUCUCUCCUGUUUAAGAGAGAGAUGUCUAAACCAAGAUGCCUUUUUUGCUGAAGACACAGGGAAGGACUAAAAGAAGGCUCACAAACAACGGAUGGAUAUUUGCCUUUUACCUCCCACCAGUGAUCACAGGUCACUACCAGCAGCAGCAAGUAAUGCCUCCUCAUGUGCCUAACUCACCCAACAGAAGCAGGUAUUCACCAGAACAGGUUCAGAGGAUCUGUCUUCAGAAAUACAAUCAAAGCCACAGAAAGAGGCUGAAGUAUUACAGUAGCCAGCCAUGGUUACAUCUUUGGGACCUUUGCUUGCUCUUUUAUCUACUAACAUGCUUCCAGCAUUCCCAGUGGUUUGGAGGAAUAUAAUUGCAUGCUAUUACUUAAGAACUAUGUGAUUACUGUGCCACUGCCUUCCACAUAACCCAGCCUGUAAUAAAAGCGAUAAGAAUAG